rnacentral:lncRNA from 1 species
AUGUGUGUGCGUGUGUCUCUCUCCCUCCUAUGCUCAGGUUUCUCGGUCCUUCCUGCAGUGGCUGUCUUCCAUCCCUCUCUACCGGCCGCGCCAGGAACCUCCGCCACAGGAAUUUGUAGAGCCGGUGGGGAAGAGCUAGCUAGCCUAGCUGAACAGGUGGAAAAUGGAGCUGGAGCGCCCUCAGACGGAGAUAGUGGCUCAGUGACAAAUCUUGUUCAGUUCCCUGAUUUCACCCCCAUAAUCUAAUAUUAACAGAAGGUCUGUCUCAAAAGCUCCCUGAUCCCUUGUGGUCCCUGCAGGCUUGUUCAGUAAUUUCUCUACAUUCAUCAACCCCCAACUAAUUGAUCAUGCAUGAGGAUUUGCAACCACAAGGCAUUUUGGCCAUGGUAGGUAGUCACUGUAAUAACAAGUAGAUGCAUUUUGAUUUUUUAUUUCUGAAAAAUUCUGCAAAUAACUUGUAAAACACACUAAAUAAACUCAAGAAUGUUUAAAGGAGUGGACUGAAUGAAUGGAGCACAGUGCCAUCUAAAGGCUAAGUAAAUAUACAUAACCAGAAGCUCUGGCGAAAUAAUAAAAUUUUAAAUAACACCUUGUUAACAAGCGUUUAAACCAAAACUUAUAAGCUUCUCCAGACACAGGAAACACAAUAAAACUAGGCAAUAUAUUUAAUUGAAAAACAGGCACACGUUAUUGUUUGAAGCCAUUAAACACGUAUGUUAAGUAAUCUGUGAGUCUGCCCUGUCCUGCUGUGGAUAAUCUCUCAGUGCCAGUGAGGUCACAGUCCAUAAAGCAGCAUCAUUCAAAUGGUGCAGAGAUUAUGUCAUUUAAUCCCACAAAGACACAUAAAGAUAACCUUUAUGUAAAUCACAGUACCAUCCCCAUUCUGUCAGAAAACAUACAUUUAUGUGGUUGGAAACUAGAGUCCACAGAGUAAAAGAGGUGGAGAUGUCAAGAGUGGAGGCAGGUGUGGAUUGUAGAUGUCUGUCUGAAGUCAAUAUUAAAUC